AACGAACGCUGGCGGCAGGCCUAACACAUGCAAGUCGAACGCCCCGCAAGGGGAGUGGCAGACGGGUGAGUAACACGUGGGAACGUACCCUUCGGUUCGGGAUAACUCAGGGAAACUUGAGCUAAUACCGGAUACGUCCGAGAGGAGAAAGAUUUAUCGGCCGAGGGAUCGGCCCGCGUCUGAUUAGCUAGUUGGUGUGGUAACGGCGCACCAAGGCGACGAUCAGUAGCUGGUCUGAGAGGAUGAUCAGCCACAUUGGGACUGAGACACGGCCCAAACUCCUACGGGAGGCAGCAGUGGGGAAUAUUGGACAAUGGGCGGCAAGCCUGAUCCAGCCAUGCCGCGUGAGUGAUGAAGGCCCUAGGGUUGUAAAG
rnacentral:rRNA from 1 species